AAAGCCUCCCUUCUCCUGACCUUUGGCAGCACCUAUAGACAUCGAUUUCACACGACCAGAGCAACAGAGCCUGCCUCCCCGGCCCUGCCGGAUCCCGGGAGCAGCUCACAGCCGAAAACGCAGAGAGCAAAGUGGAAGGAACAAAGCCCUGACGUCAAUUAGCGGAAAAGGAUUAAACUCAACAGCUAAGAGAAGGGAACGCGCUGCCCCUGCUACCCACAGCAGCAUCAGGAACCAUCCCCAAUACGUGUUUUAGGCGGUGCCAGCUCGGUUCUGCUCUCCGAAGAGAGGGAAGCCGGGACACCUCGGUGCGGGCCGGGCGCAGGCGGCAGACGCACGCACACCCAUCCGCGCAGCGGCGGCCAACUCGGUUACUCCAGAAGUGCGUGCGCGGGGGAAACACUGCGGCCUGGUCUUGGCUUUCCACACCGGGAGGUUUGACACGAAACGGGCAACCAAACCCGGCCAGAGCCGAAGCCUGGAGGGGGGAUGGAGCGAGUGCAGCUGCGUUGGUGACGGAAGGCCGUGCAGUGACGAGGAGAUGGCGGCGUGCCCCAAACGCUGUGGGGAGCUCUCCAGGUGCGUGAGUGGAUGCGUCAAUCUUUCAAGCUAAGCAUUCAGCUCGUCUCAGCCCCAUGUUAACGAGUGCCAAUUUACAACCCUUCAGCUGGGAGUCUCCCUUUUACAAGACAGCACACACUUUUUUCCAGUCUGCCAGUGAAAUCUCUCAGCAACCUCGUAAGAACUUGUAACGCUACUACAAGAACGGCAUCAAGGUGGAAAGACACGUCAUUUCCAUUACUCACCCUUUCCCAAGCCCUGCAGGGGCUUUGCUAGAAAGGCUUCCUGGCCUGGAUGCUGAGAGGUACCACAUCUUCUGUUCAAAACCUGGACAAAGCAUUAGCUUAUUUAACAAACCACUCAGAGACUGGAUCCAAAGCAUGGAUUACUGCCUCCUACCCACCACCCCUAAAGAUCUGUGCCUCCAUAUACAGCAGUGACUAAAGCCCUCAACGAUGCAUUGUGAGAAGUUAAGUCAAUACUUUAAAUAUAUUAAGCUUCCUGAUUCUUGAGAUAUUUGCAUGUUUAGACUUUGGAUAAAUUCACAGUAGUAUCUUGCUUCACUGCCCUACAACCAUAUCAAAUAUAGCUUUCUUUUGAUGUCACAUGCUGCUAGUGAAAAAAAGCCAGUUUAUUUUUAGGAACGGCCUUUCAGAACCAAACCAUAAGAGGUGCCAAUUUCCUCAGCUUUUAGGAUAAAAAUCCCAUUUCAGUCAUACAAGAUAAUUAUGAGAUCUCAGUAUUAGUCUGUACCUUUUCUCUCUACCUUUCAGUCAUCAGCUUGCCAGCGCUCUCUAACCCUUGCUCUGCUUAGAUUCAUUUCAGAUCUGCACAGGUUUUCACUUUUUUAAAAAAUGAGACCUCUCAUGUGUAAGCUGUCUCAUUGAUUAAAUAUUUAUCUAGAUACAUUGCAUUAUUGGAACCACAAGAGAAAAAUAAACCUUCCUUUUCUGAUCUGAUUAAUCA
rnacentral:lncRNA from 1 species